CGCCAGCAUCCUAGCCGAAGCGCGGACCUCAGUCCCGGCUGGCCGUAUUACACCCUGGGCUAUAACACCUCCACCGAAGUGGAGGCCACAUUCCCAGAGCCUUUAUCCGGCCGCCGAAACUGAUGCUGGCCUGUCCAAACUGAGUAAACCGGUCAGAAGACCGGCCGAACAGUUUAAACAAGUCUGAUUGCAAGCGCUUCCCUUUCAACAAUUUCACGUGCUUUUUAACUCUCUUUCCAAAGUGCUUUUCAUCUUUCGAUCACUCUACUUGUGCGCUAUCGGUCUCUCGCCAAUAUUUAGCUUUAGAAGAAAUUUACCUCCCAUUUAGAGCUGCAUUCCCAAACAACUCGACUCGUCGAAGGAGAUUUACAUAGGGUGCCAUUUCCUGUCACAUACGGGAUUCUCACCCUCUAUGACGUCCUGUUCCAAGGAACUUAGACAGGCGGCUUCCCCAAAUCAUCCUCUACAAAUUACAAUGCGAACCCGAAGGCUAGCUUUCAAAUUUGAGCUGUUGCCGCUUCACUCGCCGUUACUAGGG
rnacentral:rRNA from 1 species